rnacentral:lncRNA from 1 species
CCAGUUCAUUCUUUUCUUCAUCAUUAUUUGAACUUAUCAUGGUUGCAUUAUAUUGACACCAUGUCGCCAUCCUCCACAGCGUUUCUCUCUUAUCCUUUUCCUGGAGCAUGCAAAUUUUCAGUUCUAAUCGGCAAUUUUUUUUUUACCUUUUUGGCUUGCUCCUGUCCACCUGGUGGGUUCUUUUCUCCUCGUGUGUCAUCAUUUUCUUUCAGCAUGGCCAUAAUUUACUUUGUUUUUUUGACGGUGAGCAUAGCGCUGGAUAGCUUAAUCAAUUUAUUAAUACAAGCUUAAAACUGAAGAAAAAUCAUGUGCGCUGAGCAUACAUAAAUAUGUCACUCAUUCAACCAGGUUGGUGGAUAGACAAUGUAGCACACUAUGGGUCUGUGCGACAAAUGGAUACUACUCCUUCCGUCCCAAAUUACUAUUCGUUUUGACUUUUCUAGGUACAAAAGUUUUGCUACGUAUCCAGAUAUAAUACAAUAUCUAUGAGCACAACAAAAGGUAUGUAUCUAGAAAAGUCAAAACGAAUAAUAAUUUAGGAUGGAGGAAGUACUCAUUAUAACAUCUCCAUACAUAUGUUGAGAAAGACACAUUGAUUCUCUUUCGUAGCUUUAGAAUUUGCUACCAUCAAUCUUGAUGUGACACUGAAGUCCAAAUAUCAGAUCUUUUAUUGCCUCCUACCACUAUAUUAUUUUCCCCACUUCCCUCUCGAGAAAUGGCGUUCAUCCUUUUUUUAAAUCAUAUUUAAAUC